rnacentral:tRNA from 1 species
GCUUUUAAAGGAUAAAAGACAUCCACUGGCCUUAGGAGCCAUCUAUCUUGGUGCAACUCCAAGUAAAAGCA